CUCCAUGUGAGUGCUUGCCUUGGGCCCAGGAUUCUAUCCACUUCAUCCUCAUAUGAAUCCUUUAAAUACAGAUGACUAAAUACUAGUGAACUUUGAAGAGUAUGGGCAAGACAGACAUAAGGGACAGGAUUUUCCCAGAAUGAAAGGUCAGGACUUUGUUGCAACUAAAAAGAAGAACUAUCUGGUUAUUCCAUUAUCAGAUAGCAAGGCCUUUGGAUGGGCAAGUGUGGCACUUAACACUCUCUGAAGGUAAAGAAAGACCUUGGGAAAAAACUGACGUGAAGAGGAGUCAGCAUCUCAAUCUUUCUCUCCCUUUAGCAACAUGAAAAGAGUCUGAAGCCACACCUUCCUUGAAGCUGGAAGCCAGAAGACCAGGAUAUCUUCUCUCCCAAGCUCUAGCCAACUUCACCUCUUAUUGCAGACAUGGAGCAAUGAAUAAUGGAUGUGGGCUUUGACGUGCAGGUUUAUCUUGUGUUUUUUAAUAGUAUCACUUUAGAUCUUUUACAAGUUUUGGCUUACAUGCUUCUCUACCCCAUCUUGUCAACUUACAAAAUUGAAGGAAUAUUCAAUGAUCAUGUCUGGGAUGUGCCACUAUAAUAAAAAUUAUAAUAU